AAUACAUAAACUGUUUUUCUACACACUCGGAAAAAGGUCUCAUCUCAAAAACUUUUCAAAUUUAUUUUGGAUGUUUGCAAAAUGACCAUCACGUACACCGACCAGGUCGCCACGUGCCGUGGUCUGGGAUGUUUUUGGAAAUUACUUUUUCGUUGGAAAGGCAGCAUUUACAAACUGCUGUGGCCCAAUCUGAUAUUGUUCACAGUAUGUUAUUUUACGUUGAGUUUUACAUACAGAAUAGUGCUAACAAAUUCACAGAGAGAUCUUUUUGAAAAAAUAUCAUUGCACUGUCAAAUGUACACCAGUCUAAUCCCUGUGUCGUUUGUAUUGGGAUUUUACGUUGCAGUUGUCGUUGGACGAUGGUGGAAUCAAUAUUUAAGCAUACCUUAUCCGGAUUCAUUGGCUUUGUACGUCAGUACGUUAAUCAUUAGGCAAAACGAUCGAUCUCGGCUAAUAAGAAGGACAAUAAUGAGAUAUGCCAACUUGUCUAUACUUAUGACGUUGACAAUGAUAUGUCCAGCAGUGAAAAAGAGAUUUUCGACAAUGGAUCAUUUGGUGGAGUCAGGAUUCUUAAUGCCAGACGAAAAGGCACUACUCGAGUCAAUGAACAGCAAAACUAGUCAUCCGAAUUAUUGGAUGCCACUAGUAUGGGCCGCUACAAUCGUGUCACAGGCCAAAACCGAGGGAUAUAUCACGAAUGAAUUUUCAAUAAUAACAUUAAUUGAUGAGAUAAACAAGAUAAAAUCAAAUUGUGCUGGCUUGCUAAGCUACGAUUGGAUAAGUGUGCCACUUGUUUACACGCAAGUAACGACAUUAGCAGUUUAUGUUUACUUUGUUGCAUCAUUAAUGGGAAAUCAGUAUCUGGAUCCACGCAAAGGGUAUCCGACACAUCCAAUUGAUUUAGUCAUUCCAAUAUUCACGUUUUUUCAAUUUUUCUUCUACAUGGGCUGGUUAAUGGUAGCAGAAACUUUAGUGAACCCGUUUGGUGAUGAUGACGACGACUUUGAUGUGAACUGGCUCAUCGAUAGAAACUUACAGGUAUCGUAUAUAAUUGUUGACGAAAUGCAUCAAGAGUAUCCAAUGAUGAUAAAAGAUCAAUAUUGGAAUGAAAUAUUCCCAUCAAAAUUACCGUACACAGAAGAGACUAAACACCUUCAGAUAACUCCGUUUUUAGGAUCGGCUCAAGCAAUUGAAGCACAAACAGAUUAUAAUGAAAAAAAACCUACAGUUACCAGCUGCGAUAAAAAAAUGGAAACAAAACAAAAACCAAAAAUCUUGACUGAAGUAUCCAAUAUGAUGGCCAUGGAAUAUCAUAAAAACGCUUACAGACAUGAUGAUUAUUACAAUAAUUUUUCAAAUACCAUUGAAGAAAUCAAUAGGGAAAAACAUGUAAAUGAUUUUGGGGAAUCGUUAGUUUCAUUAACGGAGUACAGUCGUUCACAACUAUUACCAAGCACAUCUACUCAACCUCAAUAUAUUUCAAGGACUACGACAUUUUCAGUGAGUAGUUAUAGUGGUGAUGAGAGUGAUCAAGAACAUCAAAUAUAAUUAUUAUGCGUAUAAUACCAUACCACAGCAAGCACCUCAAUUUCUGUAUCAGUUAUCUUAAGUCAAAGGUAGAGCAACUGAUGCAACCGCAGUGAAAUAAUGGUGAGACUCUUUCUGGACGUUUGUUGAAACGAAAUUUAUAUUCUCAUUCUAGGCUUCCUAGUUUUUACAUCACUUCUUUUGCAUCUAACAGUGAGUAUUGAUAACAAUCAACUGAAUCUAAAUCUAAAUUGAUAUUUUUAUUUAAAAUGGGUAAUGGAAUGACUUUAUCUGUAUUACUACAUAUUUUAUAUUUAUUAUUAUUUAAACUCUAAUCUUAACUAAAAAUAUACAUACUAGGUAUUAGAUAUAGUAAAUUUUAUAAUGUUUAUAAAUUCAAAAUAGUCAAUUACCAAAUAAUUUAUCAGAAAGUACUCCCAAAAAUAGAUAUCCACAAUUACAGUUUAAAUGUAAUACAAGUAUUUCACAAUAACUCUUUUACCACCACUGUCAAAAGCUUUGGCAUAGCUAAUAUUAGAAAUACUAAUCUACUACUGUGGACUUGUUAACCCUAUAUAAAAUAUAUAAAAUAAUUAUUAUUAUUGCAUGAGACCCACAGGUCACAAAACGUGAAAAAUAAAAAUAUUUGUAUGCACAUUGAUGCAUACCUCCUAUCUAUGGAUAGGAGGUAUAUUGAAUAUAUUUUAUUCAAAUUGGUAAAUCUGACAUAAUACAAUAUAUAAUUUAUAAAUAUUUA